GUCUCCGUAGGUGACCUGCGGA
rnacentral:rRNA from 1 species